rnacentral:lncRNA from 1 species
GUCUGCCCGGUUCCUCCCAAAAGAUUCAAUCACAUGGAAAACAUAGCUCCUUUCAAAAAGCAGUGUGGGAUUUUUAUUCCUAGGCUUCCAGACAUUGUUCCGGAAAUGGCUUUGACAUUGUCACGCAGCCAGAGUGUUAUGAAUAAUACCCUAUUAGCCGGAGACGUUCAAACAAUCAUCCGUUAACAUGUUCUUACGGCGAGAUGAUGAAGCAUCCUCUGAAAUCAGGCGCUUAUCUGCGGCCCACUCAGCGGGCUUUCCAUCACUCCCUGCGCCGAUGCCGCGUGUCCCUGUCUGGGCCUCCAGCUAAUCACCACGGGGCAAGCGGUGAGUC